CUAGACGUGUCUGGGCUUGGUAAGCGAGGAAAUAAAGGCACUGGGGAAUGGAGGUUUCAAAGUGUCACCGUUACUGCAAGUGCUUCGUGACAACAUCCGGUGCAUCACCAAGCCAGGGCACGAGUCUUUCCCGACAUAGACAAGAAAUGUCUGGACGCCAUAAGGAAGCAGAGGUCAAGCGUCACCGUCACUGACAUGACAAUAUCGUGCUUCGUGACGACACCACGUGCAUCACCAUAUAUUUAGCUGUGAGUCAGCUGAUGCGUGCACACGUUCCGGUCCAGCCCUACUUCUGCACCUGUCUUGGAGGGAGGAAGCAGACCACGAGACUGUUGAUAGUCACAAUAAGUUGGGAAGGAGGCAUCUCUCAGCAGCUUCCAGGACCGCAUUGAUGCCAUGAAUUCCUGAUCAACUGCAGCUACAAUGUUCAUGGUGGGACUUAUCCUGGUGAGAGGUUGUCCGACGCCAUCUCCACGGUGACGUCCAGAAAGAUCAGUGCUCGUGUGUACGCCCUGUGAUCUGAGUGAUUUAGCCAGUGGGGCGUUAGGACAUUUUGUAAAGGAGGCUCCUUUUGCCAUCAGGGCUACAGUCCGCUUCUGUGGUGUACAAGCUUGGUGUAUGGCUGGUUUUGCUUCUGUGACUGUGUCGAUGGCCGGGAUUGUAUAGAGUUUCUGUUGAUUCUGUUCAUUAUAAACAGGGUUUUCCCUGGUUCACCAUCUGUUGUCAUUUCUGUUAGAAAUUUAGUCCUUUAGAAAUGCUAGACUUCUUGGUAUCUACGCAGUCACAGAAACUGAAUCAAUACAAACAGAAUGCAAAGUGUGCGAUUUCACAGUUAUCAUGUAUAUCACGAUGUUAGAUACAUGUACAUAUAGUUAAGCUUACUUACGUUAGGUGUUAGGUAUAGUUUUCCCCAUAUUUGAGUGAAGGUCUCGUCUUUUGUUUUUGUUAAGAGGCUUGGAGAUGUAGUGUUGUUUAGGCGCUUUUUGUUAGCAGCCUCUCUUUUUGAGUGCAUUUGUUUGAUGCCAUUCCAGUACAGGAGUGGCUGACGCUGGAUUGUUUUUUGUGCUUAACUUUUUUAUUGUCGCAAAAAAGUGUUAGCAUUCUGUAAAUGUCAACUGUCCGUUUAUUGUGUAGAGGUUGUAGCCCUUUUAAUCAGUUGUUUGGAAAUUUGCCUAGUAACUGAGGCUAAGGCUGGCGCUGACACUAACACAAGACAGACACAUACACACUAACAGACUAACCCCACCAAACACACACUCAUGCAACAUUUUUGACGGACACUAAUCAGCAAAUGCCUUAGCCUUAGACUGAAAAAAAUCUAUGAUUCUUUAAGUACAAAGGCUCCACGCUACCUCUAUACCAUGUACUGACAAUGUAUAUAUUGACUGAUUUUAGCUUUUUUAUCCACUAUGUCCUAGAGUGAGGGUAUUUGUUAACCUAAAUGGGUUAGAUGUUAAGUUCAUUUUUGAUGCUGGACUAUCUUCAUUUAUCAUGCGGUUUAUAUAUUAUGCACUUUGCAUUCCUCUAUUUUGCUAUUAAACAAAUAUGCUGAAGUCGGAUGUGUUGUGCACGUUUUUGUUUUACUCAACUUUGAUAGGAAAAAUACUCAUAAGUGCCUUGCUGUUUCAAAAUUGAUUUACAACUGUUCUGUUCUUACCACAUCACCAAACCACAAAAGGUUAAAUUUUCAGUUUGAUGGCAGAGAAAUAUAAAGGAGGGUUAAAAAUCAGUACACACACUACAUUUACAACAAAGAAAAUCUUUUUUGGAAGGAAAUGGUCG